GUCUACAGCAAUACCACCCUGAAUACACCUGAUCUCGCUGAUCUGGGAAGUUAAGCGCAGUCCGGCCUGGUUGGCUUGGAUGGGCGGAUGUGACU
rnacentral:rRNA from 1 species